CAGCCAUAUAAUGUUGAAACACUGGUUCCUGUAUGACCACCAAAGUUAAGCAAUGUUGAGCCUAGUCAGUACCUUGAUGGGUGACCUCUUGGGAAUACAAGGUACUGUAAG